CAAGAAAAGGUCAGGAUAGCUCAGUGGCAG
rnacentral:tRNA from 1 species